rnacentral:lncRNA from 1 species
AUGACCAUCUCAAUAACAAGAUAUAUUUUUUUUUUUUUGCAGGAACGAAAUAUUACUUACACUCCACCUGGAGUAAUUUCAUCAACUCAAAUCUAUCUUAUUGCUUAUAAAAAUAAUCCUUACACCAUGAAGAGUUUGUUUAAGAAAGCAACAUUCUUUAUCACUCUGUUGAGAAAUUUUAGCCUGCUUCCAACAGCUCAAGCACACUGUUCAAGGUUCACAGUAAGAGGAUCCCAUGAAGAGCAUCUUUUCCAAACUCAUUCUUCACUCUUGACAUGUUAUGUAACUUUCCUACAUGGACAAAGUAUAGGAAUAUAUUUAUUUUUCUUUCCAGUUCAGAUAGAGAACUGUUAGACUGGUCAAUUUGACUUUUGUUUCUAACAUUUAAACAUUUCGUUUAUUUUUAUUAUUGAGGUUUAAUCUUUAUAAUCUAAUUUGUUACAUAAUUUAAAAAUUCUUGAACAAUCUCAAUCCAAUCCAUGUGUUUUGUUCUUUUCUAAGAGCAAAGCUUUCUAAAAAAGCACAGAGAAGGUAGAAGAGGAUCUCAAAAUAGAAAUUAAAAGUAGGAAUCUAAAACCUGGCAGCACCUAUCACAUGCAAAAUGCAACUUAAUAUAUUUCAUUUGGUCCUGAUUAGCACACCACUAAUAGCACACCACUAAUGAGGCCUAGAUCAUAGACUCAUAGAAUGUUAGAAUAGACCUAUCAAGAAUCUGUAAGCUGGUCUAGGUCAAAACUUCUAUCUCUUCACUUUAAAGAAGAGGAAAAUGAUUCUCAUAGAGUUAAAUAACUUGGCUAAAGCCAAAUAACCACUUACAGAACAAGUAUUAAACCCAAGUUUUCCUAACUUCUGUGCCAUUGCACUUCUUUCUAAAAAUGUUAAGUAUAGCUUAUGCAACCCUUUAUUAACAGCAAAAGCAGUCCCACAUACAUGCUCUUUGACAGUGUAUCAAGAUCAUCAUCUUCAUAUUAAACAGCAAGCUUUACUGCACGCUGAUUAAGAGAAGGACUAAAGCACACGAUUUUCCACUUGCUCAUUAGGUUAUAUCUAAUCAUUUUUCACUGUUUUAUUUCAUGGCCAAAACAAGAAAUGUGGUAAAAUAGUAUUUAGUU